UAUGGCCAUAUCAUGUCAAAACAUCAGUUCUCAUCCAAUCACUGAAGUUAAGCAACAUCAAGAUUAGUCAGUCCCUAGAUGGGUGUCCACUUGGGAAUACCAGUUGCUGUA